GUAGACAUAGUUUAACCAAAAUAUCAGAUUGUGAUUCUGAAGAUAGGGGAUAGAAGCCCCUUGUCCACC
rnacentral:tRNA from 1 species